GACAUGCGGGGAGGAACAGGCAGUGGACAACCUUGCUGCGGCUCGGGAUGAAGCAGCCACGAGCUUCCUCCUCCUCCGGCUUCAGUGGAGGUGUACCAAAGGUAGUUUGAAGCAGAUUAGGCGGCCGCGGGCGUCUUUGGCGGUGAGGCCGUCCAGUGAAGGAAAUGGCGGUGUGGCGAUUUGUGUUCUAUUCUCCAUCCUUUAAGCUCAUAACAGAAGAAAGAACUAUACAAUCACUAUUGUUUUAUUAAGAAAAGACCUGUCUUGUAUGCAUGUAUUGAUGAGUACUCCUCUUGACUCGAUUGUGUUGUAGGGAGUGAAAGCAUCCAGUUGCGGUGGUCUCCAACUCUGGUCGCCUCCAGCAGCACCACAUAAUCAAAGUUCCAAACAGUAGUGUUGGACUGCUGCCUCCAGCCAACCAUAACAUAAUCAUUGGAUGUGUUUCUUACGUAGAAGAUUUGAGUGAUCUGCACGCACCAACUUGAUGUAGGGGGACACCAUGGAAGGCUAUGUCGUAUAUUGUGGCGUCUGGAUUAGUCAUCAAUGAUCACUAACAGUCAUGCCGGUAUAUUUCCAGAAUCAUAACAAGGACGUAGUUCUUGCUACAGUUCUAAGUUAUGAUCCUAAAUUGAAAAUUGAUGGUGCUGAAAUUAAAAUGCAUUUUGGGCAGUGUAAUACAACACUUGCGAAAACUGAAGAUUUGGUACAGAGUCGCAAAAACUACAAUACUAAUGGUAAUGCAAAAAAAAAUAUUGCAUGGCCUUCAAUGUUUAUUGAAAAGAUAUAUGGAUGAUUAUAUGGGUGCGUAACAAGUAUACUGCAAUGAUGAUGACGACGACGACGAUAUUCUGGUUCAUGAUGUUGAUGAUGAUGGAUGCUUUCAAUUUUAGUUAAGUUGUGGGAUGUUCCUAUUGGACGAUGUUCCUCAGUUAGUUUUAGUCAAGUUGUAGGGAUAUUGAUGGAUGAUUUUAGUUUAGAUUUUGCUGUAAAGAAAAUUUUAGAUUAUGCACACAUUUGGAUGAUGUUCCUCCUGUAAUAUCCAUUAUUGUAAUCCAACAUUUUUAUAUGAUA